GUGGUUAGAGCUAGGUAGCCUAGUGGUUAGAGCAGGUAGCCUAGUGGUUAGAGCAGGUAGCCUAGUGGUUAGAGCAGGUAGCCUAGUGGUUAGAGCAGGUAGCCUAGUGGUUAGAGCCAGGUAGCCUAGUGGUUAGAGCCAGGUAGCCUAGUGGUUAGAGCCAGGUAGCCUAGUGGUUAGAGCCAGGUAGCCUAGUGGUUAGAGCAGGUAGCCUAGUGGUUAGAGCCAGGUAGCCUAGUGGUUAGAGCCAGGUAGCCUAGUGGUUAGAGCAGGUAGCCUAGUGGUUAGAGCAGGCAGCCUAGUGGUUAGAGCAGGUAGCCUAGUGGUUAGAGCAGGUAGCCUAGUGGUUAGAGCAGGUAGCCUAGUGGUUAGAGCAGGUAGCCUAGUAGUUAGAGCAGGUAGCCUAGUAGUUAGAGCAGGUAGCCUAGUGGUUAGAGCAGGUAGCCUAGUGGUUAGAGCAGGUAGCCUAGUGGUUAGAGCAGGUAGCCUAGUGGUUAGAGCAGGUAGCCUAGUGUUUAGAGCCAGGUAGCCUAGUGGUUAGAGCCAGGUAGCCUAGUGGUUAGAGCCAGGUAGCCUAGUGGUUAGAGCCAGGUAGCCUAGUGGUUAGAGCCAGGUAGCCUAGUGGUUAGAGCCAGGUAGCCUAGUGGUUAGAGCCAGGUAGCCUAGUGGUUAGAGCCAGGUAGCCUAGUGGUUAGAGCCAGGUAGCCUAGUGGUUAGAGCAGGUAGCCUAGUGGUUAGAGGCAGGUAGCCUAGUGGUUAGAGCAG
ensembl:lncRNA